rnacentral:tRNA from 1 species
GCUCCUUUAGCUCAAGGGAUAGAGCAAUAGCCUUCUAAGCUGUGGGUUGUGAGUUCGAAUCUCACAAGGAGCGCCA